UACGUAGGGGGCGAGCGUUGUCCGGAAUUAUUGGGCGUAAAGAGCUCGUAGGCGGCUUAGUAAGUCGGCGGUGAAAUACCGAGGCUCAACCUCGGCACUGCCGUCGAUACUGCUAUGGCUAGAGUUUGGUAGAGGAGAACGGAAUUCCCGGUGUAGCGGUGGAAUGCGCAGAUAUCAGGAGGAACACCAAUUGCGAAGGCAGCUCGCUGGGACGUUACUGACGCUGAGACGCGAAGGCGUGGGGAGCAAACGGG
rnacentral:rRNA from 1 species